rnacentral:rRNA from 3 species
AGGCUUAACACAUGCAAGUCGAGGGACCGGCGCACGGGUGAGUAACGCGUAUGCAACCUACCUAUCAGAGGGGAAUAACCCGGCGAAAGUCGGACUAAUACCGCAUAAAUAAAGUCGCUGAUAGAUGGGCAUGCGUUCCAUUAGGUAGUUGGUGAGGUAACGGCUCACCAAGCCGACGAUGGAUAGGGGAACUGAGAGGUUGGUCCCCCACACUGGUACUGAGACACGGACCAGACUCCUACGGGAGGCAGCAGUGAGGAAUAUUGGUCAAUGGGCGGGAGCCUGAACCAGCCAAGUCGCGUGAAGGAAGAAGGAUUAUGGUUCGUAAACUUCUUUUGCAGGGGAAUAUGUAUGUACCCUGAGAAUAAGGAUCGGCUAACUCCGUGCCAGCAGCCGCGGUAAUACGGAGGAUCCGAGCGUUAUCCGGAUUUAUUGGGUUUAAAGGGUGCGUAGGUGGUUUGAUAAGUCAGCGGUGAAAGUUUGCAGCUUAACUGUAAAAAUGCCGUUGAAACUGUCGGACUUGAGUGUAAAUGAGGUAGGCGGAAUGCGUGGUGUAGCGGUGAAAUGCAUAGAUAUCACGCAGAACUCCGAUUGCGAAGGCAGCUUACUAAGCUAACUGACACUGAAGCACGAAAGCGUGGGGAUCAAACAGGAUUAGAUACCCUGGUAGUCCACGCAGUAAACGAUGAUUACUAGCUGUUUGCGAGUAAGCGGCACAGCGAAAGCGUUAAGUAAUCCACCUGGGGAGUACGCCGGCAACGGUGAAACUCAAAGGAAUUGACGGGGGCCCGCACAAGCGGAGGAACAUGUGGUUUAAUUCGAUGAUACGCGAGGAACCUUACCCGGGUUUGAACGUACGAGGUGCUGCAUGGUUGUCGUCAGCUCGUGCCGUGAGGUGUCGGCUUAAGUGCCAUAACGAGCGCAACCCUUAUUUYCAGUUACUAACAGCUGAGGACUCUGGAGAGACUGCCAGCGUAAGCUGGAGGAAGGUGGGGAUGACGUCAAAUCAGCACGGCCCUUACAUCCGGGGCGACACACGUGUUACAAUGGUAAGCAAAGGGCAGCUACCGGGCGACCGGAUGCGAAUCUCUCUUAUCUCAGUUCGGACGGAGUCUGCAACUCGACUCCGGAAGCUGGAUUCGCUAGUAAUCGCGCAUCAGCCAUGGCGCGGUGAAUACGUUCCCGGGCCUUGUACACACCGCCCGUCAAGCCAUGGGAGCCGGGGGUACCUGAAGUUCGUAUCGACCUAGGGUAAAACUGGUGACUGGGGCUAAGUCGUAACAAGGUAGCCGUAC